rnacentral:rRNA from 1 species
UACGAGGGGGGCAAGCGUUGUUCGGAUUUAUUGGGCGUAAAGAGCUCGUAGGCGGUCUGUCGCGUCUGCUGUGAAAACUCGGGGCUUAACCCCCGGGCCUGCAGUGGGUACGGGCAGACUAGAGUGCGGUAGGGGAGACUGGAAUUCCUGGUGUGAGCGGUGAAAUGCGCAGAUAUCAGGAGGAACACCGGUGGCGAAGGCGGGGUCUCUGGGCCGUAACUGACGCUGGAGGAGCGAAAGCGUGGGGAGCGAACAGG